ACUACUGGUGACAUUUCAGCAUGCUAGCUUGCAUUAUUUGAACAUUCUGGAACUCAGAGAGGAUAAGCUGUCUCCUGUUGUCCAGCAUUUUGGGGUGAUUUUCACAAAUGCAGUCUGCUGGAUACAUUUACUUCUCCUUCUCAAGAGCUGUGAUGACUCAGAGGCGAGACAGAAACUGAAGUGUUUAUCUGCAAAAUACUUCUUGGUGAUGAUUAAAGCCAUUGUGAUGAAAAGAAAGUACAUUUAUGCACUUGUAAAUCCAGGCGCUGGCUGGGACCAGUAAGUACAGCUGACUAAAGAAUGUGCCAGAUUUAAUUUCAUCCUUUUAUUCUUUGUUAUAUGACAUUCACUAAUCCACUUAACCCACCUGUACACCACAUUCUUUACCAAUUUCCUUUGAUAUUCUGACUUUUAUGAAGAAAAAGAUGGUGUAAAGAAUAACAAUGAUCAAAGAUGGAAUGUGAUUUGAAAUUAAAAUAAAACACAAAGGAAUCUUAAAUAUCGUCCUCUCUUCUUUCAUGUACUUAUCUUUAACUACAUACCCCAUCUUUGUUUCUGGCUUCUGAGAUCAUUAUUCUUAUUCUUCCAUUAAUAAAAGCAAUAACUUAUUAUAGUAGUACUCAGCCUAAGGAACACAGGAAAAAGUAC
rnacentral:lncRNA from 1 species